rnacentral:rRNA from 1 species
ACUCAAAUGAAUUGACGGGGGCCCGCACAAGCAGUGGAGUAUGUGGUUUAAUUCGAAGCAACGCGAAGAACCUUACCAGGACUUGACAUCUAUGGAAUCCUGCAGAGAUGCGGGAGUGCCUUCGGGAACCAUAAGACAGGUGGUGCAUGGUUGUCGUCAGCUCGUGUCGUGAGAUGUUGGGUUAAGUCCCGCAACGAGCGCAACCCUUGUUGUUAGUUGCCAUCAGGUAAUGCUGGGCACUCUAGCGAGACUGCCGUUGACAAAACGGAGGAAGGUGGGGACGACGUCAAAUCAUCAUGCCCCUUAUGUCCUGGGCUACACACGUACUACAAUGGCUGUUAACAGAGUGAAGCGAAUCGGUAACGAGGAGCAAACCACUUAAAAGCAGUCUCAGUUCAGAUUGUGGGCUGAAACUCGCCCACAUGAAGUCGGAAUUGCUAGUAAUCGCGGAUCAGCAUGCCGCGGUGAAUACGUUCCCGGGCCUUGUACACACCGCCCGU